AGAGUUUGAUCCUGGCUCAGGACGAACACUGGCGGCGUGCUUAACACAUGCAAGUCGAACGGUGACGCUGGAGCUUGCUCCAGCUGAUCAGUGGCGUACGGGUGAGUAACACGUGAGCAACCUGCCCUUGACUCUGGGAUAACCCCGGGAAACCGGAGCUAAUACCGGAUACGAACCGCACAGGCAUCUGCGUGGUUGGAAAGAUUUAUCGGUCAAGGAUGGGCUCGCGGCCUAUCAGCUUGUUGGUGGGGUAACGGCCCACCAAGGCGACGACGGGUAGCCGGCCUGAGAGGGCGACCGGCCACACUGGGACUGAGACACGGCCCAGACUCCUACGGGAGGCAGCAGUGGGGAAUAUUGCACAAUGGGCGCAAGCCUGAUGCAGCGACGCCGCGUGAGGGAUGAAGGCCUUCGGGUUGUAAACCUCUUUCAGCAGGGAAGAAGCGAAAGUGACGGUACCUGCAGAAGAAGCACCGGCUAACUACGUGCCAGCAGCCGCGGUAAUACGUAGGGUGCAAGCGUUGUCCGGAAUUAUUGGGCGUAAAGAGCUCGUAGGCGGUCUGUCGCGUCUGCUGUGAAAACCUAGGGCUUAACCCUGGGCCUGCAGUGGGUACGGGCAGACUAGAGUGCGGUAGGGGAGACUGGAAUUCCUGGUGUAGCGGUGAAAUGCGCAGAUAUCAGGAGGAACACCGGUGGCGAAGGCGGGUCUCUGGGCCGUAACUGACGCUGAGGAGCGAAAGCAUGGGUAGCGAACAGGAUUAGAUACCCUGGUAGUCC
rnacentral:rRNA from 1 species